rnacentral:rRNA from 1 species
GUGGGGAAUAUUGGACAAUGGGCGAAAGCCUGAUCCAGCCAUGCCGCGUGUGUGAAGAAGGUCUUCGGAUUGUAAAGCACUUUAAGUUGGGAGGAAGGGCAGUAAGUUAAUACCUUGCUGUUUUGACGUUACCAACAGAAUAAGCACCGGCUAACUUCGUGCCAGCAGCCGCGGUAAUACGAAGGGUGCAAGCGUUAAUCGGAAUUACUGGGCGUAAAGCGCGCGUAGGUGGUUCAGCAAGUUGAAGGUGAAAUCCCCGGGCUCAACCUGGGAACUGCCGCCAAAACUACUGAGCUAGAGUACGGUAGAGGGUAGUGGAAUUUCCUGUGUAGCGGUGAAAUGCGUAGAUAUAGGAAGGAACACCAGUGGCGAAGGCGACUACCUGGACUGAUACUGACACUGAGGUGCGAAAGCGUGGGGAGCAAACAGGAUUAGAUACCCUAGUAGUCC